rnacentral:rRNA from 1 species
UACAGAGGUCUCAAGCGUUGUUCGGAUUCAUUGGGCGUAAAGGGUGCGUAGGUGGCGCCGUAAGUCAGGUGUGAAAUUUCGGAGCUUAACUCCGAAACUGCAUUUGAUAACUGCGGUGCUUGAGGACUGGAGAGGAGACUGGAAUUCACGGUGUAGCAGUGAAAUGCGUAGAUAUCGAUGAGGAAGACCAGUGGCGAAGGCGGGUCUC